rnacentral:rRNA from 1 species
GACGGAGGAUGCAAGUGUUAUCCGGAAUCACUGGGCGUAAAGCGUCUGUAGGUGGUUUAAUAAGUCAACUGUUAAAUCUUGAGGCUCAACUUCAAAAUCGCAGUCGAAACUAUUAGACUAGAGUAUAGUAGGGGUAAAGGGAAUUUCCAGUGGAGCGGUGAAAUGCGUAGAGAUUGGAAAGAACACCAAUGGCGAAAGCACUUUACUGGGCUAUCACUGACACUGAGAGACGAAAGCUAGGGUAGCAAACAGG